rnacentral:rRNA from 1 species
UACGGGGGGGGCAAGCGUUGUUCGGAAUUACUGGGCGUAAAGGGCUCGUAGGUGGCCAACUAAGUCAGACGUGAAAUCCCUCGGCUUAACCGGGGAACUGCGUCUGAUACUGGAUGGCUUGAGUUUGGGAGAGGGACGCGGAAUUCCGGGUGUAGCGGUGGAAUGCGUAGAGAUCCGGAAGAACACCGGUGGCGAAGGCGGCCUGCUGGGCAGUUGCUGACACUGAGGCGCGACAGCGUGGGGAGCAAACAGG